AGAGUUUGAUCCUGGCUCAGAACGAACGCUGGCGGCGUGGAUAAGACAUGCAAGUCGAACGAGAGAAUUGCUAGCUUGCUAAUAAUUCUCUAGUGGCGCACAGGUGAGUAACACGUGAGUAACCUGCCCCCGAGAGCGGGAUAGCCCUGGGAAACUGGGAUUAAUACCGCAUAGUAUCGAAAGAUUAAAGCAGCAAUGCGCUUGGGGAUGGGCUCGCGGCCUAUUAGUUAGUUGGUGAGGUAACGGCUCACCAAGGCGAUGACGGGUAGCCGGUCUGAGAGGAUGUCCGGCCACACUGGAACUGAGACACGGUCCAGACACCUACGGGUGGCAGCAGUCGAGAAUCAUUCACAAUGGGGGAAACCCUGAUGGUGCGACGCCGCGUGGGGGAAUGAAGGUCUUCGGAUUGUAAACCCCUGUCAUGUGGGAGCAAAUUAAAAAGAUAGUACCACAAGAGGAAGAGACGGCUAACUCUGUGCCAGCAGCCGCGGUAAUACAGAGGUCUCAAGCGUUGUUCGGAAUCACUGGGCGUAAAGCGUGCGUAGGCUGUUUCGUAAGUCGUGUGUGAAAGGCGCGGGCUCAACCCGCGGACGGCACAUGAUACUGCGAGACUAGAGUAAUGGAGGGGGAACCGGAAUUCUCGGUGUAGCAGUGAAAUGCGUAGAUAUCGAGAGGAACACUCGUGGCGAAGGCGGGUUCCUGGACAUUAACUGACGCUGAGGCACGAAGGCCAGGGGAGCGAAAGGGAUUAGAUACCCCUGUAGUCCUGGCAGUAAACGGUGCACGCUUGGUGUGCGGGGAAUCGACCCCCUGCGUGCCGGAGCUAACGCGUUAAGCGUGCCGCCUGGGGAGUACGGUCGCAAGAUUAAAACUCAAAGAAAUUGACGGGGACCCGCACAAGCGGUGGAGUAUGUGGCUUAAUUCGAUGCAACGCGAAGAACCUUACCUGGGCUUGACAUGUAAUGAACAACAUGUGAAAGCAUGCGACUCUUCGGAGGCGUUACACAGGUGCUGCAUGGCCGUCGUCAGCUCGUGUCGUGAGAUGUUUGGUUAAGUCCAGCAACGAGCGCAACCCCUGUUGCCAGUUACCGGCACGUGAAGGUGGGGACUCUGGCGAGACUGCCCAGAUCAACUGGGAGGAAGGUGGGGACGACGUCAGGUCAGUAUGGCCCUUAUGCCCAGGGCUGCACACGUACUACAAUGCCCAGUACAGAGGGGGCCGAAGCCGCGAGGCGGAGGAAAUCCUAAAAACUGGGCCCAGU
rnacentral:rRNA from 1 species